rnacentral:rRNA from 1 species
UACAGAGGGGGCAAGCGUUGUUCGGAAUUACUGGGCGUAAAGGGCGCGUAGGCGGCCUUCUAAGUCGAACGUGAAAUCCCCGGGCUCAACCCGGGAACUGCGUCCGAUACUGGAAGGCUUGAAUCCGGGAGAGGGAUGCGGAAUUCCAGGUGUAGCGGUGAAAUGCGUAGAUAUCUGGAGGAACACCGGUGGCGAAGGCGGCAUCCUGGACCGGCAUUGACGCUGAGGCGCGAAAGCCUGGGGAGCAAACGGG